GCAUGGCAUUCCGUAAUGAAAAGAGAAUUUUAGCAUAUGUAUUCACCUUUAUUGUUUUAAUUCUCUUGUGCACAACCUGUUAUUUAGGUUUUUCCCUGUCUGUUCAUCGUAUGAUUUCUGAUCCAGAAGUGUAUAACGAGGAGUAUGAUAAAAGAAUAUUUUGUCUUCUAAAAGCUGCCCAAGGAGAUAGAUUAGAUCAUAUAAAAAGGUUGUAUUAUGAAGAUUACAUAGACAUGGAUGAUGUUGACCUACAUGGUCGCUCUGCACUUCAUUUAGCAGCAUGUGAAGGUCAAAACGAAGUAUUGAAAUUUAUUAUUCGUCAUAAUUUAUGUUUUCCAGAC